UACAGAGGGGGCAAGCGUUGUUCGGAAUUACUGGGCGUAAAGGGCGCGUAGGUGGCCUUCUAAGUUGAACGUGAAAUCCCUGGGCUCAACCCAGGAACUGCGUCCAAGACUGGGAGGCUUGAAUCCGGGAGAGGGAUGCGGAAUUCCAGGUGUAGCGGUGAAAUGCGUAGAUAUCUGGAGGAACACCUGUGGUGUAGACAGCUUACUGGACGGUCACUGACGCUGAGGCACGAAAGCGUGGGUAGCAAACAGG
rnacentral:rRNA from 1 species